GUAGUCAUAUGCUUGUCUCAAAGAUUAAGCCAUGCAUGUCUAAGUAUAAGCAAUUAUACAGUGAAACUGCGAAUGGCUCAUUAAAUCAGUUAUCGUUUAUUUGAUAGUACCUUACUACUUGGAUAACCGUGGUAAUUCUAGAGCUAAUACAUACUUAAAAUCCCGACUGUUUGGAAGGGAUGUAUUUAUUAGAUAAAAAAUCAAUGCCUUCGGGCUCUUUGAUGAUUCAUAAUAACUUUUCGAAUCGCAUGGCCUUGUGCUGGCGAUGGUUCAUUCAAAUUUCUGCCCUAUCAACUUUCGAUGGUAGGAUAGUGGCCUACCAUGGUUUCAACGGGUAACGGGGAAU
rnacentral:rRNA from 1 species